rnacentral:rRNA from 1 species
CCUACGGGAGGCAGCAGUGGGGAAUAUUGCACAAUGGGGGAAACCCUGAUGCAGCGACGCCGCGUGCGUGAAGAAGUAUUUCGGUAUGUUAAGCUCUAUUAGUAGGGAGGAAAAUGACGGUACCUGACUAAGAAGCCCCGGCUAACUACGUGCCAGCAGCCGUGGUAAUACGUAGGGGGCCAGCGUUAUCCGGAUUAACUGGGGGUAAAGGGAGCGUAGGCGGACAGACAAGUCAGAAGUGAAAGCCCAGGGUUCAACCCUGGGACGGCUUUGGAAACUGCCGGGCUGGAGUGCAGGAGAGGUAAGCGGAAUGCCUAGGGUAGCGGUGAAAUGCGUAGAGAUUAGGAGGAACACCAGUGGCGAAGGCAGCUUACUGGACUGUAACUGACGUUGAGGCACGAAAGCGUGGGGAGCAAACAGGAUUAGAUACCCGUGUAGUC